rnacentral:rRNA from 1 species
CCCCUAGAUGUUCUGGGCCGCACGCGCGCUACACUGAACAGUUCAACAAGUCUUAACCUUGGCCGAUAGGUCUGGGUAAUCUUUGAACGCUGUUCGUGAUUGGGAUAGACCUUUGCAAUUAUGGGUCUUCAACGAGGAAUUCCUAGUAAACGCAAGUCAUCAGCUUGCAUUGAUUACGUCCCUGCCCUUUGUACACACCGCCCGUCGCACCCACCGAUUGAAUGGUCCGGUGAAAUCUCGGGACGGCGGCUUGGUCGCUUGCGUCCGACUGCUGAAACUUGAUUAAACCAUAUCAUUUAGAGGAAGGUGAAGUCGUANCA